rnacentral:rRNA from 1 species
AGUGAACGCUGGCGGUAGGCCUAACACAUGCAAGUCGAACGGCAGCACUGUAAGAGCUUGUUCUUAUGGGUGGCGAGUGGCAUACGGGUGAGGAAUACAUCGGAAUCUACUUUUUCGUGUGGGCUAACGUAGGGAAACUUACGCUAAUACAGCAUACGACCUCCGAUUGAAAGCAGGGCAUCUUCUGACCUUGUGCGCAUGAAUGAGCCGAUGUCAGAUGAGUGAGGUGGCGAGGACAAGGCCCAUCAAGGCGACGAACCGUAGCUGGUCUUAGAGGAUGAUCAGCCACACUUGAACUAAGACGCAGACCAGAAUCCGACGAGAGGCAGCAGUGGGUAAUAUUGGACAAGGGGCGGAAGCCUGAUCCAGCCAGGCCGCGUGAGUGAAGAAGACCAUCAGAUUGUAGAACCCUUUUAUUGUAAGAGAAAAGCAGCAGAUUGAUACCCCGCUGGUCAGGCGGUACCCAAAGAAUAAGCACCGGGUAAUUUCGA